GUUGAACGCUGGCGGCAUGCCUAACACAUGCAAGUCGAAUGGUAACAGGAAACGGUUUGCUGUUUCGCGUACGAGGGGCGGAGGUGUGAGUAAUGUCUGUGAAACUGCUUUAUGGAGGGGGAAAACUCCUGGAAACGGUAGCUAUUCCCGCAUAACUUUUCAAAACCAUAGAGGGGUACUUUCGGGCCUUUUUCCUUCAGAUUUUCCCAGAUCGUAUUACCUAGUAGCUGGGGUAACUGCUCACCUAGGCGACGAUCCCUAGCUGGUCUGAGAGGAUGACCAGCCACACUGGAACUGAGACACGGUCCAGACUCCUACGGGAGGCAGCAGUAGGGAAUCUUGCACAAUGGGCGAAAGCCUGACGCAGCAACGCCGCGUGUAUGAAGAAGGCCUUCGGAUUGUAAAGUACUUUUAGCGGGGAAGAAGAGAGUAAUGAUAAUACCUUCGCUUAUUGACGUUACCUAAACAAGAAGCCCCGGCUAACUCCGUG
rnacentral:rRNA from 1 species